rnacentral:rRNA from 1 species
CGUAGAGUUUGAGUCCUGGCUCAGGAUGAACGCUAGCUAUAGGCUUAACACAUGCAAGUACGAGGGGAAACGACAUUGAAGCUUGCUCGAUGGGCGUCGACCGGCGCACGGGUGAGUAACGCGUAUCCAACCUGCCUCUGACUAAGGGAUAACCGGCGAAAGUCGGACUAAUACCUUAUGAGGUUUUCUGCAGACAUCUAAUGAAAACGAAAGAUUUAUCGGUCAGCGAUGGGGAUGCGUCUGAUUAGCUUGUUGGCGGGGUAACGGCCCACCAAGGGCAACGAUCAGUAGGGGUUCUGAGAGGAAGGUCCCCCACAUUGGAACUGAGACACGGUCCAAACUCCUACGGGAGGCAGCAGUGAGGAAUAUUGGUCAAUGGGCGAGAGCCUGAACCAGCCAAGUAGCGUGCAGGAAGACGGCCCUAUGGGUUGUAAACUGCUUUUAUGUGGGGAUAAAGUGAGCUACGUGUAGUUUAUUGCAGGUACCACAUGAAUAAGGACCGGCUAAUUCCGUG